GAUGAACGCUGGCGGCGUGCCUAAUACAUGCAAGUCGAGCGAACGGACGAGAAGCUUGCUUCUCUGAUGUUAGCGGCGGACGGGUGAGUAACACGUGGAUAACCUACCUAUAAGACUGGGAUAACUUCGGGAAACCGUAGCUGAUACCGGAUAAUAUUUUGAACCGCAUGGUUCAAAAGUGAAAGACGGUCUUGCUGUCACUUAUAGAUGGAUCCGCGCUGCAUUAUCUAGUUGGUAAGGUAACGGCUUACCAAGGCAACGAUGCAUAGCCGACCUGAGAGGGUGAUCGGCCACACUGGAACUGAGACACGGUCCAGACUCCUACGGGAGGCAGCAGUAGGGAAUCUUCCGCAAUGGGCGAAAGCCUGACGGAGCAACGCCGCGUGAGUGAUGAAGGUCUUCGGAUCGUAAAACUCUGUUAUUAGGGAAGAACAUAUGUGUAAGUAACUGUGCACAUCUUGACGGUACCUAAUCAGAAAGCCACGGCUAACUACGUG
rnacentral:rRNA from 1 species